UACGUAGGGAGCAAGCGUUGUCCGGAAUCAUUGGGCGUAAAGCGCGCGUAGGCGGCCCCGUAAGUCCGCUGUGAAAGUCAAAGGCUCAACCUUUGAAAGCCGGUGGAUACUGUGGGGCUAGAGUCCGGAAGAGGCGAGUGGAAUUCCUGGUGUAGCGGUGGAAUGCGCAGAUAUCAGGAGGAACACCAAUAGCGAAGGCAGCUCGCUGGGACGUUACUGACACUGAGGCGCGAAAGCGUGGGGAGCGAACAGG
rnacentral:rRNA from 1 species